rnacentral:rRNA from 1 species
UGGGGAAUAUUGGACAAUGGGGGAAACCCUGAUCCAGCAAUGCCGCGUGAGUGAUGAAGGCCUUCGGGUUGUAAAGCUCUUUUACCUGCGAUGAUAAUGACAGUAGCAGGAGAAUAAGCCCCGGCUAACUUCGUGCCAGCAGCCGCGGUAAUACGAAGGGGGCUAGCGUUGUUCGGAAUUACUGGGCGUAAAGGGCGCGUAGGCGGCGCCAUAAGUCAGAUGUGAAAGACCUGGGCUCAACCUGGGAGGUGCAUUUGAUACUGUGGUGCUAGAGUGCGAGAGAGGAAAGUGGAAUGACGCGUGUAGAGGUGAAAUUCGUAGAUAUGCGUUGGAACACCGGUGGCGAAGGCGACUUUCUGGCUCGCAACUGACGCUAAGGCGCGAAAGCGUGGGGAGCAAA